UUACGGUUAUGGUUAGAGUUGGUGUUUGGAGUAGGGCUAGUGUUAGUAAAACCGUUGUUUUGUUACGUUUUGUCACUCUGAGGCCAGCGAAAUAAUCUCUUCCUUUAAAAAUAUGUGAUCAGAAAAAAGCGUGUAGUUCGCCAUCUUUUUUUUAACUGAAAUUACGUAAUAAGGUAAAGGGUUUCUAUAUAUAGGUCUGGAGAGACUAUAUAAUGUGGCACACCUAUGUGGCACAUCAUUUUCUGCAGAUUCGUGCACAUCGAGGAAUCGGAAACCAAACUUUAUUAUUGUCGCCUUAUAUAUACCCAGCUAGCUGUAGGAAAACACAUUUGCAUAAAAAUGCAUGGAUAUGGUUUACAAGCUACCGCUAUAUACUUAAAUGUACAGGUCGAUUAGUUUUUUAUUAUUUGCAUGACAAAAUUAGAAAUUUUACUCACCUACGUCUUUCUAACACAUACACUGUAUUUUUCUUUUACUUGAAAAUAUUUAUUCUGGAUACUCGCUACAUUCAUUCUCAACUAUUUAUAUUUGGAAUUUUAUUUGAUAAAGCUCAGCUGAAAUUGUGAAAAGAAGAAAGUCACACUCUUGUUCGACCGCCAUUGUAAAUCACCUUUCACAAAUUGGUUAUUUGCUUCCAUAUAUAUACCCCCUCUUUAGCAAUCAUAAUUCAGUAUUUUCAUGCAAAUAAUAAAAAUAAAAUAAUUAAAACACACAAUUAUUAUAACAC